GACGAACGCUGGCGGCGUGCUUAACACAUGCAAGUCGAACGGAAAGGCCCUGCUUUUGUGGGGUGCUCGAGUGGCGAACGGGUGAGUAACACGUGAGUAACCUGCCCUUGACUUUGGGAUAACUUCAGGAAACUGGGGCUAAUACCGGAUAGGAGCUCCUGCUGCAUGGUGGGGGUUGGAAAGUUUCGGCGGUUGGGGAUGGACUCGCGGCUUAUCAGCUGGUUGGUGGGGUAGUGGCUUACCAAGGCUUUGACGGGUAGCCGGCCUGAGAGGGUGACCGGCCACAUUGGGACUGCGCUACGGCCCAGACUCCUACGGGAGGCAGCAGUGGGGAAUAUUGCACAAUGGGCGGAAGCCUGAUGCAGCAACGCCGCGUGCGGGAUGACGGCCUUCGGGUUGUAAACCGCUUUCGCCUGUGACGAAGCGUGAGUGACGGUAAUGGGUAAAGAAGCACCGGCUAACUACGUG
rnacentral:rRNA from 1 species